rnacentral:rRNA from 1 species
GGCACCCCCGGUCCCAUCCCGCAAACGGUAGUUAAGCUUCUCUGCGCCAAUGGUAGUUGGGGGCUUCCCCCUGCGAGAGUAGGUCGCUGCCGGGC